rnacentral:rRNA from 1 species
UACGAAGGGGGCUAGCGUUGUUCGGAAUCACUGGGCGUAAAGGGCGCGUAGGCGGCUUUAUAAGUCGGGGGUGAAAGCCUGUGGCUCAACCACAGAAUUGCCUUCGAUACUGUAGAGCUUGAGACCGGAAGAGGUAAGUGGAACUGCGAGUGUAGAGGUGAAAUUCGUAGAUACUCGCAAGAACACCAGUGGCGAAGGCGGCUUACUGGUCCGGUUCUGACGCUGAGGCGCGAAAGCGUGGGGAGCAAACAGG